CCUACGGGUGGCUGCAGUGGGGAAUAUUGGGCAAUGGAGGCAACUCUUACCCAGCAAUGCCGCGUGAAUGAAGAAGGUCUUCGGAUUGUAAAGUUCUUUAAUUGGGGACGAAAAAAAUGACGGUACCCAAGGAAUAAGCCCCGGCUAACUACGUGCCAGCAGCCGCGGUAAUACGUAGGGGGCAAGCGUUAUCCGGAUUUACUGGGUGUAAAGGGAGCGUAGACGGCAGCGCAAGUCUGGAGUGAAAUGCCGGGGCCCAACCCCGGAACUGCUUUGGAAACUGUGCAGCUGGAGUGCAGGAGAGGUAAGCGGAAUUCCUAGUGUAGCGGUGAAAUGCGUAGAUAUUAGGAGGAACACCAGUGGCGAAGGCGGCUUACUGGACUGUAACUGACGUUGAGGCUCGAAAGCGUGGGGAGCAAACAGGAUUAGAUACCCCAGUAGUC
rnacentral:rRNA from 1 species